UGACCUGUAGCAGAAAACUCCCAGAAGCCUGGCGGGAGCCGGCGCCACUGGUGAGACAAGGCUACACUGUGCACUUAUAAUUAGGCUUCACCUAGAGGUGCAACCCACUCAAACUACCAACUGAUGAAUGUCUCAAGCAGACCAAAGGUGAGGAAAGAAAUCAGGAUCCCAAGAACCUGGAAAGCAGGGCAGUCACGACAAUCGGCAGUUGACAACGUGGGGGUGAAGGGCUGAGGAAGAGACUGCCAUCUGCAGUAAGCCUGGUGAGGACCCCGGUGGAUGAGGGAGUGAAAAGCCCUGAGCAGAGCAAUGGUCCUGGGUCUCACAUCAACAGGACAUUGAGAGCCAUAAUUAUAAGGUCACCAUAUUGCCUCCUCUCAUCCUCACCAAUCCAAAGAGAUGUUCCUACAUCUGGCCAGAUGCUACCAGAAACUAGAUGAAAGCAAAAGUGACUGGGUCUAACAUAAGGAAAGAAAAACGUGUCCCUGGUGGAGGAGGAGUAAGUGCUCUCUCAGAAAUCAGAAGACAAGUUCGACCACCCUCAGACUCUUGGCAGCUCUCAGCUGAGAAAGACAAAGGGUUUGGCCAAAAUUGCUACCGUCAUCAUUCUGUCACAUCUUCGGUGCGAAUGAGAGGGCUCAGAGUUCAUGUCACGCACACGGGAAAGGGUGAAACUGGGGCCUGUCCAGGUUGAAUGAAGCAGCAGAUGAGAUAGAGCUGGCUUGGAAACAUAGGUCUUCCCACAGGGUGUCCUCCUCACUAUUCCACACUGCCCUUGGAUGGCUUGUGAGGUCCCUGGCAGCUCUCCAUCACAUGAUUCCAAGAUAGGGAGCUUCCUUUGACCCUGGGAGUAAAUCAGCCCAGCUAAAUGGGGGCAGCAAGGGCAAAGAUGACCUUCAAGAGUCAGCCACCUGAAGUAGACUCCUGCAUUGACCAGUUACCACCUCUGAGUCCAGGCCAGUCAUGGAGCCCUUGGUUUUCUCCUCUAAGAAGGAUAGGAAGUAUUUCCUUCUCAGGCUUGUUUGCAGAAUUUAGCAAGAUACAGUUCAAGUGUCGGUUCCCUUGUAAUCUUCCUCUCUCCCUUUCCCACAAACAGUAUUUGGAGAAUAAACAGUAAGUGAGCCUUGUUAGGAAACUUUCUUUCAAAUUAGCUUAGAGUUUAAGAUUUUUUUUUUUUUACAGAGUCUUAUAAAAAAUACUGAAUCUAUCUGUGCAAUAAAAAUAGGCUCAGUAUUUGCUUGGGUGUUUUCCUCACAUAUCUUUCAGUUCUUUGAAGCUUCUUCCAAAUUAUAAGCCAAAAAUAAGAGUGCUGUAAUUUUUAGAAAAAGUUACGUGUAUGCAAUUUUUAUAGCAAGUCAAAGAACUAAGCUAUAAUACAUCAUACUCAUGUUCAGUUAUGAAGACCAAGACUGUAAAAAAAAAAUACCAGCACCAGAAAGCCCUAGUUUAUUUAGUCUGGUUUCCUUAACAUGAAGUUCUUCUUGUUCUUAAAAUAUUCAGCUUUGGCUGAAUUCCAAAGCUGACAUAAGCCUACUUCAGGUGUUUUGAAGAGACUAAAGAGAAUCAGAACUGAAAGCAAAAUUGGAGAAUAAAACCUUUUAUGUGAUCACAAAUGCAAGAACCUUAUUGUUUGAAACCACCAUUAAAUCAAA